GUGUCAGCAGCCGCGGUAAUACGUAGGGGGCAAGCGUUGUCCGGAUUUAUUGGGCGUAAAGAGCGUGUAGGCGGCCAGGUAGGUCGGUUGUGAAAACUGGAGGCUCAACCUCCAGACGUCGGUUGAAACCGUAUGGCUAGAGUCCGGAAGAGGAGACUGGAAUUCCUGGUGUAGCAGUGAAAUGCGUAGAUAUCAGGAAGAACACCCGUGGCUAAGGCGGCUCUCUAGUACGGUACUGACGCUGAGACGCGAAAGCGUGGGGAGCAAACAGGAUUAGAAACCCCGGUAGUCC
rnacentral:rRNA from 1 species